AUCCCAAUUUGUCAUCCACAUCUAUCGGCCUAAAUGGCGACCGCAGCCUCCCCAUUCCCCUCCACUGCUCGCCUCCUGUUGCCCUCCACGCAGCCUCCCCAUUGCUUAGCUCACCGCUUGCUCGCACUCCGUUUCAACUCCGUCGGCAAGAGCCUGGCAGCGAGGGCCGCGGCUGUCACUUCCCCUACCCCGUCUCCCCUCACGUCCUCCUCCGGCAUCGUCCUCGUCGACCAUUCUGAAGCCGAGAAGGCCAACCGUCUCAAAAGCGCCUACCUCGAGAAGGUCGUUCCCCUCCUAAAAGAGGAGUUCAGCUACAAAAACAUCCACGAGAUUCCAAAGAUUGAGAAGAUAGUGGUGAAUUGUGGGAUGGGAGACGCAGAACAGAAUUCAAAAGGGUUGGAGGCGGCGAUGAAAGACUUAGCAGUGAUUACUGGGCAGAGGCCUGUGAAGACGAAGGCAAAAAAUUCUAUUGCAACAUUUAAGCUCAGGGAGGGUGCCACUGUCGGCAUUGCUGUCACCCUCCGAGGUAAUGUGAUGUUUUCCUUCCUUGAUCGGCUCAUAAACCUGGGUCUUCCAAGGACCAGGGACUUUCAAGGUGUAAACCCAAAUAGUUUUGAUGGACAUGGAAACUACAGUGUAGGCUUCCGAGAUCAAAGUAUGUUUCCAGAGAUCCGAUAUGAAGCCCUGGGCAAGCAAAGAGGAAUGGAUGUUUGCAUCACAACGACAGCAAAAACUGACAAGGAAGCUCAUAGACUACUUGGUCUUCUUGGCAUGCCGUUUCGAGAGGGUGGAGGCCCGGCAACAGUGGUAGUGCCCAAGAAGAAGAGAAAGGCUGCUCAUUUUGAUGGCAAAGCCAAGGGAAGAAAGUAGUUAACUGUGCCCUGCCUUAGAAUUCAAUCUACUCAUUCAAGGUUUUUACAUGAUUCAGCCAGGUUUGCUGAAGAAGGUAUAGGUUAUUCGGUAACCUCGUGUUUGAAUAUUGUUCUGCGCUACUUUUCUUAUCUGGUGGUUGGAUUAUGUAGAUUCAGUCAAAUGCCAAGGGGCUAUGUAUUAUUUGAUCCAGACAAUAUCAACUUUAUUUACUCAGGAGAUUCUAACUGGAUUAUGCUGCCGUGGACAUUGUUCUUGCAGUUUUAGUUAAUCAACUUUUUUUAUUUAUUAUUGUUAUUAUUUUUCAAUGGGCUGUAAAAUUUGGCAAAUUAUAAAAGAGA